UACGUAGGGUGCGAGCGUUAAUCGGAAUUACUGGGCGUAAAGCGUGCGCAGGCGGUUUUGUAAGUCAGAUGUGAAAUCCCCGGGCUUAACCUGGGAACUGCGUUUGAAACUACAAGGCUAGAGUGUGGCAGAGGGGGGUGGAAUUCCACGUGUAGCAGUGAAAUGCGUAGAGAUGUGGAGGAACACCGAUGGCGAAGGCAGGUCUCUGGGCUGAUACUGACGCUCAUGCACGAAAGCGUGGGGAGCAAACAGG
rnacentral:rRNA from 1 species